rfam:Schistosoma haematobium scaffold52_17, whole genome shotgun sequence.
GAAUUCCUGAAGAGUCCCACAAUAAGAUGAAACGGCCGUCCAAUGC